rnacentral:rRNA from 1 species
UAGGGAAUCUUCCGCAAUGGGCGAAAGCCUGACGGAGCAACGCCGCGUGAGUGAUGAAGGUCUUCGGAUUGUAAAACUCUGUUAUUAGGGAAGAACAAACGUGUAAGUAACUGUGCACGUCUUGACGGUACCUAAUCAGAAAGCCACGGCUAACUACGUGCCAGCAGCCGCGGUAAUACGUAGGUGGCAAGCGUUAUCCGGAAUUAUUGGGCGUAAAGCGCGCGUAGGCGGUUUUUUAAGGCUGAUGUGAAAGCCCACGGCUCAACCGUGGAGGGUCAUUGGAAACUGGAAAACUUGAGUGCAGAAGAGGAAAGUGGAAUUCCAUGUGUAGCGGUGAAAUGCGCAGAGAUAUGGAGGAACACCAGUGGCGAAGGCGACUUUCUGGUCUGUAACUGACGCUGAUGUGCGAAAGCGUGGGGAUCAAACA